rnacentral:tRNA from 2 species
UUUGUUUUAGUAUAAUUUAUUACAUAAGCUUUUCGUGCUUAAGAUAAUUUUAUAAUUAAACAAAG